GCCUUCGUGCUGUAGUGGUCAGCACUCUCGACGUGUAUUCGAGAGGUCCGGGUUCGAGUCUCAGCAAAGGCA
rnacentral:tRNA from 1 species